rnacentral:rRNA from 1 species
CAGGACGAACGCUGGCGGCGUGCCUAACACAUGCAAGUCGAGCGAGGAGAUCCUUCGGGAUGAUCCUAGCGGCGGACGGGUGAGUAACACGUGGGCAACCUGCCUCAUAGAGAGGAAUAGCCUUCCGAAAGGGAGAUUAAUACCUCAUAACAUUGCAGUUUCGCAUGGAACAGCAAUUAAAGGAGCAAUCCGCUAUGAGAUGGGCCCGCGGCGCAUUAGCUAGUUGGUGAGGUAACGGCUCACCAAGGCGACGAUGCGUAGCCGACCUGAGAGGGUGAUCGGCCACAUUGGGACUGAGACACGGCCCAGACUCCUACGGGAGGCAGCAGUGGGGAAUAUUGCACAAUGGGGGAAACCCUGAUGCAGCCAACGCCGCGUGAGUGAUGACGGCCUUCGGGUUGUAAAGCUCUGUCUUCAGGGACGAUAAUGACGGUACCUGAGGAGGAAGCCACGGCUAACUACGUGCCAGCAGCAGC